UAACUGCACACCAAACAUAAUGAGCAUAACAACAACAUUCCAUAUCCCAUUUUCUUUAUAUCAGUGAAGAACCUCUACUGCCUAGCUUUCUAAAUGCCAAGCCAAAUUCAGCCCCUACCCAAAAGGCUGUGAAAGGUCUCAGUAGUUUUGACUGGUAAGUUAGUUAUCUGUCUAGUUCUUUUUCAGUUUCAAAUUAUUUUACUGAAUUCUAAACUUUUCUCAUAACAGGAAGCUUUGCAACUACAAUGUUGAUUUUUCCUCAUGUUCCUUUUUCAUUGUCCCCU